CCGCUGCCAGCUUCUGCAUCUCUUUCCUUUUGUAAAACCGAUUCAGAACCUUCAGCAGCUCAUCUGAAUCACAGACACAAACAGCAGAGACAAGAAGAUGUUGCAUCAUCUGAGAAAAUCAACUCCACCUUUAUAAUCAUUCCGGCUGGGUGAGCUCUAUUCCCACACCGCCGCCGUCUGCCUUCAGGGAGACGGGGACAAACAAGGAGGUGUCCGGAGGUUUCGGAGAGGAGCUGUUAGACGAAACAUCCCUGCUCCAGACCACUGUACCGGGUCGGGUGAGACCCUCAAGGACUACACAAAAAGCUUGCCAGGCUCACUCCAUACGGUCAGGUUUGUGGUUGGGCCAGAGUUGCUCCCCUGAGCUGCGUACUUCCGGCACACAAGAAGCCAAAGUAUAAGAAGGGCAAAGCCAGUGGUCAUCUCUGUAGAGACGCUGUGGAACAAGGCA